UCCUACGGGGGGGAGCAGUGGGGAAUAUUGCACAAUGGGCGAAAGCCUGAUGCAGCGACGCCGCGUGAGGGAUGACGGCCUUCGGGUUGUAAACCUCUUUCAGCACGGAAGAAGCGAAAGUGACGGUACGUGCAGAAGAAGCGCCGGCUAACUACGUGCCAGCAGCCGCGGUAAUACGUAGGGCGCAAGCGUUGUCCGGAAUUAUUGGGCGUAAAGAGCUCGUAGGCGGUUUGUCGCGUCUGCUGUGAAAGCCCGGGGCUUAACCCCGUGGUGUGCAGUGGGUACGGGCAGACUAGAGUGCAGUAGGGGAGACUGGAAUUCCUGGUGUAGCGUUGAAAUUCACAGAUAUCAGGAGAACACCGAUGGCGAAGGCAGGUCUCUGGGCUGUUCUGACGCGAGGAGCGGAAAAAGAG
rnacentral:rRNA from 1 species